GGAAAUGAGGGCUCAUGACAUCUGUCAUGUAAUUUAUUCAGCGAUCUGGCUAACUAGGCAGGUGUCCCCUUCCUUCCCCACUCUUCCAUGUGCAUCCCUCCAAAGCUUCUGGUUCAAUGACAGAGGUCAACCAUCCAUGACAGAAAUGUUUCAUUCUACAGUCAAUGGACCUGGGACCCCUUGGUAUAGGGCAGGGUAGAAAUUGAAAUAAUAAAUAAAUAAAUAAAUAAAUGGUAU
rnacentral:sRNA from 1 species